rfam:Leuconostoc mesenteroides subsp. mesenteroides ATCC 8293, complete genome.
AAUAAAUAUCUGGGGUGCCCAAGCUGGCUGAGAGAUACCCAUUGAACCUGAUUACGGUAAUUCGUGCGAAGGAAGAUUAUAAUAAUGAACU